AAAAUUCACAUUUUGACCCAAAAUUUUCUAAAAUUACAUUUCGGCCCUUAAAUUUUCUUAAAAUUGCCCUUUAACCCCUAAACUCUCAAGAAAUUACAUUUUGGCCCAUAUUUUUGCUAAAAUUGCACUUUUGCCCCAUAAACUUUACACCCUUUACAAUUUGGUCCCCAUGGACAUGUCAAAUCUGCCAGUCGGCAGCCAAGCGUGCUUCACCCACCUCCAGCUACUCCAGCAGCCUCCCUAGGCCAAUGAUGUUCCCCUACCACCUGAAAACAAAGGAAAGAAGACAAAAUUGAAGGAUUUAAAAGAAGAAGAUGAGAGGAAGAAGGGGUUCAAAAAAUUGUUGUGAACGAAAGCAAAAAAAAAAACAGCAAGAUUUCAAGCAAAAAAAAACACUCCCAUUCGGCCGAUUCCUUCUGCAGCCACCGUCGUCGUAGCGCUACCGUGUCCACCGCCCUACACCACCAUUGCCAACACCUAGCAAAACAAAGCAACAAGCAAAAAAUAUAAAAAUAGCAAGCAAAAAAACAGCGGCCAAAAAGAAGGAAGAGAAGAAAGAAAAGAAAGAAGAGAAGAAAGAAAAAGAGAGAGAGAGGAAGAGAAGGGAGGCGCGCCAGCCACCGCACCACCGGACGGAGGGACCGUCGUUGACGGCGCAAAAAAGGGCUAGGGGUGACCCGAAGAAGAAAGAAAAAAAGGAAGAAAAAAGAAAGAAAAAGAAGGAAAAAGGGAAAUAAAAUAGAAAAAAAGAAAAACAUACCAUCAGUCGGGUCGACCCGACCCGACCCGACCGGCACCAGGCCCGACCCGCAUCAGCCCAGCAGCCCAAAUAAAAAACAGCAGCCCAGCAGCCCAAAAAAAUAGCAGCCCCUAAAAAAAUAGCAAACAGCAAAAAAAAACACAGCAGGCCAUUUUUGUUAGCAGGCCAACAGCAGCCCAUUUCCAGCAAAGGCCCAGCAGGCAUCUAGGCAGCAGCAGACCAGCCCAGAAGGCCCACAGCGCCAGGCCCAGUUUGCCCAGCAGUCCAACAGGCCGGCCCAGCAGCAGAAAAAAAAGGAAGAAAAAAAAAAAGAAAAGGGUUCAAUUUGGUAACCCGUUCGACUAAACUCGUGUUUUGGAUAUUUCUGACAUCUCAUUAGGAAGGUGUUGAUUAGAGAUUGGUUGCCAAAAACGGGUUUCUGAUGGAGGAGUCAAUUACACAAGUAACCGAGAAAAAUACCGUAGUCCGAGACUGGUCUUUGAGGACCCAAAAAGCAAAAGGGGAUAGUUUAAAAGAAAGAUAUAUCUCCGAUCUUCCUGAGCAUAUGACUUCGAAUGCUUUACAGAAUAACCUCGAAGACUUGACUAGGAUCUGGAAACAAUGAGACUCAAACACUAUGAGCAUCUUCAUCGACAAAAUAUUUUGUAAUCGACUCUUUUGAUAAUUGAAACGCCAAAAUAUGGGGCUAUCUUGAAAUAAACACCAUUUUUUGCAUA